rnacentral:rRNA from 1 species
GACGAACGCUGGCGGCGUGCUUAACACAUGCAAGUCGAACGGAAAGGCCCCUUUGGGGGUACUCGAGUGGCGCACGGGUGAGUAACACGUGAGUAACCUGCCCUUGACUUCGGGAUAACUUCAGGAAACUGGGGCUAAUACCGGAUAGGAAUCCUUGCUGCAUGGUGGGGGUUGGAAAGCUUCGGCGGUUUUGGAUGGACUCGCGGCUUAUCAGCUUGUUGGUGGGGUAGUGGCUUACCAAGGCUUUGACGGGUAGCCGGCCUGAGAGGGCGACCGGCCACAUUGGGACUGAGAUACGGCCCAGACUCCUACGGGAGGCAGCAGUGGGGAAUAUUGCACAAUGGGCGGAAGCCUGAUGCAGCAACGCCGCGGGCGGGAUGACGGCCUUCGGGUUGGAAACCGCUUUCAGCAGGGGCGAAGCUUGUGGUGACGGUACCUGCAGAAGAAGCACCGGCUAACUACGUG